GCUGGGCGUGGUGGCGGGCGCCUGUAAUCCCAGCUACUUGGGAGGCUGAGGCAGGAGAAUGGCUUGAACCCAGGAGGCGGAGCUUGCAGUGAGCCAAGAUCACGCCAUUGCACUCCAGCCUGGGCGACAGAGCAAGACUCUGCCUCAA
rnacentral:SRP_RNA from 1 species